rnacentral:rRNA from 1 species
ACCUACGGGGGGCAGCAGUGGGGAAUAUUGGACAAUGGGCGCAAGCCUGAUCCAGCCAUGCCGCGUGCAGGAAGACGGUCCUAUGGAUUGUAAACUGCUUUUAUACAGGAAGAAACACUCGGACGUGUCCGAACUUGACGGUACUGUAUGAAUAAGCAUCGGCUAACUCCGUGCCAGCAGCCGCGGUAAUACGGAGGAUGCAAGCGUUAUCCGGAAUCAUUGGGUUUAAAGGGUCCGUAGGCGGUCAUAUAAGUCAGUGGUGAAAGCCCAUCGCUCAACGAUGGAACGGCCAUUGAUACUGUUUGACUUGAAUUAUUAGGAAGUAACUAGAAUAUGUAGUGUAGCGGUGAAAUGCUUAGAGAUUACAUGGAAUACCAAUUGCGAAGGCAGGUUACUACUAAUAUAUUGACGCUGAUGGACGAAAGCGUGGGGAGCGAACAGGAUUAGAAACCCCAGUAGUCC